rnacentral:lncRNA from 1 species
UCAUCUGCAGCACCCUGUCAGCCCUCAUCAGUACAGGCCGAUACAGACUGUCAGUCAAAGGAUGUGUUUGUGUCAUGGAACCCAUCAUAUGUGGCACAGUCGUACCUGCUUACUGCAGUUGGCAGAAAUGGAGACUUGAAGACGUGCAAUACCUCGGACAAUAACUGCACGCUAACCGAUCUGCAUUGCAGCAACAUCUAUGAAGUGUCCAUUUUAGCCAGUAAUGAGAACUGCACCAGCCUGCCCAGUGCUAACGUCACCAUCAAAACAGUGCCGUGUGGUCCAGCCAACUUAACUGCAACCGUACAGUGCGGGAACAGUAGUAGUGCCUCUUUGUCCUGGGUGGGGAGUACAGGGACGGUGGCCUACAUGGGACUUGCUCAGUCAGAAACCGGCACAACAGCCUACUGUGAAACCACACACACAUCUUGUACUCUGGAGGGCUUAGUGUGCGGCACUGUGUACAACUUUACAGUGCAGGCAACAGAUGGCUUCUGCAACAGCUCCUUGAGUGAACCUCAAACUAAGGCAGUCAGCUCCAUGUCCUCCAGCUGGAUUUAG